rnacentral:rRNA from 1 species
AUUGAACGCUGGCGGCAGGCUUAACACAUGCAAGUCGAACGAUGACUCUCUAGCUUGCUAGAGAAGAUUAGUGGCGGACGGGUGAGUAACAUUUAGGAAUCUACCUAGUAGUGGGGGAUAGCUCGGGGAAACUCGAAUUAAUACCGCAUACGGCCUACGGGUGAAAGGGGGCGCAAGCUCUUGCUAUUAGAUGAGCCUAACUCAGAUUAGCUAGUUGGUGGGGUAAAGGCCCACCAAGGCGACGAUCUGUAACUGGUCUGAGAGGAUGAUCAGUCACACCGGAACUGAGACACGGUCCGGACUCCUACGGGAGGCAGCAGUGGGGAAUAUUGGACAAUGGGGGCAACCCUGAUCCAGCCAUGCCGCGUGUGUGAAGAAGGCCUUUUGGUUGUAAAGCACUUUAAGCAGGGAGGAGAGGCUAAUGGUUAAUACCCAUUAGAUUAGACGUUACCUGCAGAAUAAGCACCGGCUAACUCUGUG